rnacentral:tRNA from 1 species
GUCUCUGAUCCACCUUGAGCUCAGUGGUAGAGCGCGCCACUCGUAAUGGUGAGGUCGGUUGUUCAAUCCAGCCAGAGGGCA